GUAGGUGGCAAGCGUUGUCCGGAAUUAUUGGGCGUAAAGCGCGCGCAGGCGGUUCUUUAAGUCUGAUGUGAAAGCCCACGGCUCAACCGUGGAGGGUCAUUGGAAACUGGAGAACUUGAGUACAGAAGAGGAAAGCGGAAUUCCACGUGUAGCGGUGAAAUGCGUAGAGAUGUGGAGGAACACCAGUGGCGAAGGCGGCUUUCUGGUCUGUAACUGACGCUGAGGCGCGAAAGCGUGGGGAGCAAACAGGGAUUAGAUACCCCUGUAGUCCACGCCGUAAACGAUGAGUGCUAAGUGUUAGGGGGGUUUCCGGCCCCCCUUAGUGCUGCAGCUAACGCAUUAAGCACUCCGCCUGGGGAGUACGGCCGCAAGGCUG
rnacentral:rRNA from 1 species